UCCUUCACAUUUAUUCGCAUUAACAAAUAACAACUUUGAUAGAAAGGCACGUCUGAUGUGUAGCUCAAUCAGACUCUACUUGUAGCUAUAACUGUAUGAUGCAUCAAAAUCCAAAGCCCCAAUGUCAUGGUUCUCUUGCUCUCUUAGCUCCCUAGCUAGCUACACCCUACAUUCCCUCUUAUUCUCAGGGUCUUUGUCCUUCCUCUCUAUACUUUCACCCCCUAACUUACUUUCCACACCAGUUCCAGCUCUUCGUCUUCAUCAUCAUCAGUAACACUAAGAAUUGUUAUUAGUUUUUGUUACAUCGGAAGAUCGAACUGUGAUCAAUGGGAUCCUACAAAGAAGAUGAAGACACGAGUUACUCGGAUCUGGAGAGAUCGGUGGUGAAGAGAAGAGCAGCUUGCUUUGGUUCGAUUCUGGUGAGUGUUGCAGGAGGACUCUUAUUAGGUUGGUGGGAGUAUCAGUAUCAUCCUUCAUAUCGUCAACUGUGGAUGGUGCCCUUUGGUCUUAUUCUAUUUGCUACACCAGUGAUUGUUUGGUUCUCUUUGGUGGUCUCUCAUAUCUGUAAUUCGAAAGAUGGUGAUAAUGGCACAAGAGUGAGUCAACCCGUUUAUCCACUGAGUAACUCGGUUUCUGCUAAGAAAGAUGAGCAAUGGAAUAACCAUAUCGAUCAUGUAUAAUUUUCUUGUUUUUGCUCGAAGUAAUGAAGUAUAUUCCCUAUGAUUGACAAGGAACACAGACUUUUUUAAUUACAGGUGAUAUUAAUCUUUUUGCUGUUUA